CGCCCCUUCCCUGGAGUUCUGCUUGGCAACCACCCGUCUGCAUUUUUGCAAAGUGAAGUCAUCUGCAGAUAAUGGGUUUUCCGUUCCUGGUGGAGCAGGAGUUCCAGACAUGGGGCUCUGGGGGAGGUUCUCAAGACAGCUGAUUGUCCAUCCCUUAGGUAAGGGGGGGCUGGGUGGACCCCUCCCUGUGACCGCCACUUAAGAGGUGUAAAUCAGGGCCAUUGUCUCAGGGCUCCAAGACUCCCCUGCCAAAACAGCUGGGUUCCCAGAGAUGAGCCUCUCCUUAUUGCUUUCUUGUACAGAUGGGAGUAUCAGACCCAGAGAGCCUGUGACCUUGCCCAAGCUCACACAGCAUUCAGAGGCGAAAUCUGGACUCACACCAUGUGUGAUAACAUGCCCAUGGCUCGGGGCUUUUCAAUCUCAAAACCACUGACAUUUCGGGCUGAAGGGUUUUGUUGGGGGCGGGGGGGCUGCUCUGCCCCUUUGGGAUGUGCAAAACAGAUCCCCGGGGGCUGGUGGGACCUGGCAGCAUCAUAUUCCAUCAUUUCAAAUACAGCAGUUGAGGGGGGUGGCAAUAGGAGAAGCUGGAGAAAGCCUUUUCGUCCAGGAAGAAAGGGACCCUCCUCCUCCUGAGCCCUUCAUCCAUCGCUGUCGGCAGAAGAGCGUUCUUGAGUCUGAAGCCCGAGGGAUGCGCUGUCUGGGGGCCACCUUCACGUCAGACACCUGGGGGAUGUUGAGGCAGCUGGAGGGGGCUUUGAGGGACUGGAGAGGGUCCAGGACCUCCUGCCGGCUAGGAAUACUGCUUCCUCUGACCACUGCUCAUGGAGCAAAGCUGCUGAUUUAUUUUCUUGGGGAAAUAAAAAUAAAUACUGGCUUUUGUACUCUCAUCCCCAGUCCCAUCUGGAAAAAGCAGGCUCAUGGAGCUUGGCUGUCUGAACGCCGAGGGCUGUGUCUGCAGGAAUCUGGAGUCACGACGUUCCCUCCAACAUCGGAAUGGGCACGGCCAACGUUUCCUUUCCUGUUACAUGGCUCCUUGGAAUGUCCACCCCGGGAGGCAGUCCGUGGGCAGGCGGAAUGCAGUGGGAAGAAGCUCUGCCCAGGCCACGGGCCAGCUCGGCUUCUGACUGCUGUGUGACUGGGAGCACCGCUGUGUUCCUCUCUGGGCCUUGAUUUCCCUGCCUGCAGAGUGGGGGAGCGGCAGUUCUCAAUCUGGCUUCCCUGGACCACCCGCAUCAGAUCCACUGAAGCAAAGUGUUCAAAAUGCACACUCCUGGUUCUUCUCUCAGACCUCCUGAAGUUUUUAUGAACUUCCAAGGGACUUGAUGUGGACAACUUUUAGGACCCACAGUGCCCAGGACUCUGAAGUCCCCUCCUUCCAGAUGUCCACUUUUGAACACCUUAUGGUCCUGCAGAUUCUCCCCCCGGCACCACCACCAUAACCGAGUGUGAGGGUCUCGCCUGAGGCGAGAGGGUGGAAUUACGUGGUGGGAGAGAAACUGUCUGCUUUCCAGCUCUUGUCAGGGUCCCGAGGUCCUCGAUCCAACUGAAGUCACUGUUAAAGCACUUAUUUCUCCGCUGGUGAAAUUCUAGCUGCUAGUUACAGAGUUUGGUCUCGAAAUUGUGCCAUUUAUUAUUUUUGUUGGAUCGGCUUGUAAACCGGUGCACAGUCAAACAUCAUUUAUAGCUCAUUAUUCCACAGAAUGCAUUUUCCAGAUGAGGUCGGGUCCUGCUAAAAACGUGAAGCCCUUCCUUUGUAAAGAUGGAAGUCUUUCCCAAUGGGUCACCUAUUUCUGCCAUCCUAAGUGAAGUUCAGGGAGCAGAUUUCACUGGUUUUCGUUGCCCCAGGUUGUUGUUGUGAGCUCCAACGUUGUGUGCAUUGCUGAUUUUGA
rnacentral:lncRNA from 1 species